rnacentral:rRNA from 1 species
CGAACGCUGGCGGCAGGCCUAACACAUGCAAGUCGAACGAACCUUUCGGGGUUAGUGGCGGACGGGUGAGUAACACGUGGGAACGUGCCUUUAGGUUCGGAAUAACUCAGGGAAACUUGUGCUAAUACCGAAUGUGCCCUUCGGGGGAAAGAUUAAUCGCCUUUAGAGCGGCCCGCGUCUGAUUAGCUAGUUGGUUGAGGUAAUGGCUCACCAAGGCGACGAUCAGUAGCUGGUCUGAGAGGAUGAUCAGCCACAUUGGGACUGAGACACGGCCCAAACUCCUACGGGAGGCAGCAGUGGGGAAUCUUGCGCAAUGGGCGAAAGCCUGACGCAGCCAUGCCGCGUGAAUGAUGAAGGUCUUAGGAUUGUAAAAUUCUUUCACCGGGGACGAUAAUGACGGUACCCGGAGAAGAAGCCCCGGCUAACUUCGUG